CAAGCUUUAACCACUUCUAUGACAUCUUGAGAUACCUCCUGUUAAUAUUGUGUAAUACACGGGGCAUGGGUAGAUGGUCCUGUAGCCACUUUCAGACAGUCUGUGCAGAGACUUUACUUUUACAAGGAUCUCAUCAUAUGCCUCACAAACAAUUCUUUAGUGUGACUUCCCUUGUAUGAUCCGGAUUAUUUUCUUCCCGUAGAGCUAUCAUCAUAGGGAAUUCCAGUUAUUGAUAGGCACUCUUUUGUUUAGUAAUGACAGAAAAAAUAGAAUGGCUUACUUAUGUCUCUUAGAGUGUGACCUUU